CGCUCAGAGCCCAUCAAAGUGCAGCGCUCCCGCUGGCUCCCUCCACCACGCUGGCCUCAGCCCCCCCGCAGGCUUCGUCAGCUCCCACCUGGCGCCGCCUCCAGGCUACUCUGUACCCCUCUGUCCCCUGAGCUGACACAAGUCAGCUUUCUCCAGCCGGCUCUCAUCCGGGCUGCACUCCACUUACCAGAGCCUUCCUGAAAUGACCACGACAAACGCUUGUGUUACCAAAUCAUGGAGGCGGCACUCACUGUGUUCUGGACACAGUGCUAAACACGCUCUACAGAGACUAACUCAAUUCACCGUUGUUGUGUAAGCGGGUGGGCAGGAUGGUGGCCUCACCUGAUGCAGUGCACACCUCCAACAGGCAUCAGAUGGAAUGCACUGGGAGCAAGAUUCUCAUAGCAAUGACAAAGAUCCCCAACACCGUCCACCACGCAGCCCAUUUGCCUCUGGACGCGUGGCCUUGAGCCUGGCCCCUCGAGUUUAUCCCAGCGCUUGGUGACGAGACCCCACAUACUGCACAGGAGGACAGGCAGAGGGUCAGCCAGAGCGUGGGAUGUGGAAGUGCCACCUCCCUUUGCAGGCUGUGUGUCUUCGGACAUUAUCUAUUGCCUUCCUACUAAUGAAGUUUCCUUGUACAUGAAGAGGCACAGGGAAAUUCACCCUGAAGUUGGCUCCCUGGUGUAAUGAGUAUUUUGACUUAAAAAUUCUUCAAGAUAAAUAUACUGGAAGAGACUUCUCCCUGAUCUAGGAUGAAGUUGUUGUCUGCAGUUCCUUUAUGUUGCGGGAAGUCAGGGACCCCGAAUGGAGGGACCGGCUGGAGCUGUGGCAGAGGAACAUAAAUUGUGAAGAUUUCAUGGACAUUUGUCAGUUCCCAAAUAAUACUCUUAUAAUUUCUUACACCUGUCUUACUUUAAUCUCUUAAUCCUGUUGUCUUCGUAAGCUGAGGAUGUACGUCACCUCAGGACCACUGUUGUGUUAACUGCACCAAUUGAUUGUAAAACAUGUGUGUUUGAACAAUAUGAAAUCAGUGCACCUUGAAAAAGAACAGAAUAACAGCGAUUUUCAGGGAACAAGGGAAGACAACCAUAAGGUCUGACUGCCUGUGGGGUCGGGCAAAAUAGAGCCAUAUUUUUCUUCUUGCAGAGAGCCUAUAAAUGGAUGUGCAAGUAGGGAAGAUAUUGCUAAAAUCUUUUCCUAACAAGGAUUAAUACUCUGGGAAAGAAAUGCAUUCCUGGGGGAAGGUCUAUAAAUGGCCGCUCUGAGAAUGUCUGUCUUAUGCAGUUGAGAUAAGGACUGAAAUACGUCCUGGUCUCCUGCAGCACCCUCAGCCUUACUAGGGUGGGGGGAAACCCCGCCCUGGUAAAUUUGAGGUCAGACCAGUUCUCUGCUCUCGAACCCUGUUUUCUGUUGUUUAAGAUGUUUAUCAAGACAAUACGUGCACUGCUGAACAUAGACCCUUAUCAGUAAUUUUGCUUUUGCUCUUUGCCUUGUGAUCUUUGCUUUUGCCUUUUGCUUUGUGAUCUUUGUUCUCCUUUUUGCCCUUUGAAGCAUGUGAUCUUUGUGACCUACUCCCUGUUCUUGCACCCCCUCCGCUUUUGAAAUCCUUAAUAAAACUUGCUGGCUUUAAGGCUCAAGUGGGCAUCACGGUCCUACCGAUAUGUGAUGUCACCCCCGGAGGCCCAGCUGUAAAAUUCCUCUCUUUGUACUCUUUCUCUUUAUUUCUCAGCUGGCCGACACUUAUGGAAAAU
rnacentral:lncRNA from 1 species